rnacentral:rRNA from 1 species
GGUUAAGUGAAUAAGGGCGCACGGUGGAUGCCUUGGCACUAGGAGCCGAUGAAGGACGGGACUAACACCGAUAUGCUUUGGGGAGCUGUACGUAAGCUAUGAUCCAGAGAUUUCCGAAUGGGGGAACCCAACAUCUUUAAUAGGAUGUUACGAUUGUGUGAAUACAUAGCACAUUCGAGGUAGACGCAGAGAACUGAAACAUCUAAGUACCUGCAGGAAGAGAAAGAAAAUUCGAUUCCCUGAGUAGCGGCGAGCGAAACGGGAAAAGCCCAAACCAGCAA